GCAAAUGCCCCUUUGAUGUGCUGAUUACUCAGGGGUGUACCAAGCCAUGAACAGUGGCGGCAAUGAAAUGUCUCCUGGGCGCCUUGGAACAUCGCAAGAGGACCCAGGAAAGGUUCCCUAGGAAACCAGAGAUGCACUCUGAAGCAUGUGCAAGCUUGGCCAGCUGACAGACACUCAGCUGUGCCCCAAACAUCGCUGCUAGGUCGUAUGCGAUUCGGGUCCGGAGCGUAGCUGACGGCACAUUGUAGAUGUUCCAGUGAACAAUGGGAGCAGUGAGCAAGAUGUGAUUGAAGCAGUCUGUCAAAUCCUCGGUUUGAUUUAUAAUAAUGGGGUUGCAUUGACAUGAGGAUUAAACACAGCAAAGCAUAUACUCACUGGCACUGCAUGUAAUUAAUUAUUUCUAUAAGUGUGUGGAAGGAACUAGUGCUGUUAAAUCAGGGAUAUGUAUUCCUAAGGACACUUUGGAAGAGAGUCUCUCACCGUGGAUUUGUUCCCCAGAAAUCUAAGGACAAUUUUUCUAAGCUCUGCCUUCCCUAGCUCUUCCAAGGUCAAUGCUGCAUUCUUUAUUCUACUCCGGCAAGGUGGAUGGGAAAUUUUGAGAAUCCAGUUUGUGCAAAGUCUUCACCAGCCAGUGUGACACCUGCAUGAAGAAACCUGGCACUUUGUCCCCACAAAAGUCUCCUGACCUUUUUUCCAGAACAGAAGAAGAAAAACACUUCUGACUACUAUGAAGGUACACGUUAA